rnacentral:lncRNA from 1 species
CAUUAGGGCUCAGGGUGUGUUUGGUUGGACUGAAAGUUUGUUAACGACUUGCAUAAGUUGGAACACACACAAUAUCUGGAGAAUGCAGAGACGGAGAACAGAGUAGUUGAGAUAGUACUUGGAAAGGAAGAAGAACUAGAGUCUAGAGUUCUGUUACAGCAUAAAAAACCCUACGCGCCGCCAAACCCUUAUUUAAUAAUCGGCUGGAUUACUCUGUGCUGUUUACCCACGCCGGCCCAAAGACCUUUGGGUUGCGCUUCCUCAGCCUUUUGGCCCGACACGGCCCAUCUCCUGCUGUUGCAGCCAAACCUUCUUUGUCAUUUGCCGCACCGAUGACUGCUUCCUCCGCUUCGCUGACAUUCCCCCUGCUAAAUCCGCUGGUUGUCCCCAAACAGCUGCAUGCGGAAACUGCUGUUGCAAGUCCUGCGCAAACUCCCAAGUAGCCAACUCCACGGGCAUGUGUGACCACUGGACAAGAAUUUGUUCACUGGACUGCCCCCCACGAGCCACCGUCCGACGCUGCAAGAUCUUGACAGGCACACUGAACUGAAAUUGCUCAUUAGGCAGCACUGGAGAAGACACCAAACCUGUACCCAAGGCACGCUUGAGCUGGGAUACAUGAAAUACAGGAUGAAUCCGUGACGAAGAUGGUAACUAUAAUUCGUACGCCACGGCUCCCACACGUCGCAGCACCUGAAAUGGCCCAAAAAACUUAAAUGCCAAUUUCUGAUGAGCACGAACAGCAACAGACGACUGAACAUAUGGUUGGAGCUUAAGAAACACCCAAUCACCACUAGCAAAUUCCCGUUCAGAACGGCCUUUGUCAGCCUGUCGUUUCAUGCGCAAUUUAGCCCUUUCCAAGUGCUGUUUUACUAAAUCAGACAUGACCUGCCGGUCCUGCAGCCAUAUAGAUAAAUCAGUGGAAGCAAUGACAGCAGAAUCCGAAAUACCAAACUGUCGAGGGCGACACCCAUAGAGCACUUCAAAUGGCGACCUUCCCGUAGCUGAAUGGGGAGACGAGUUAUACCAGAAUUGUGCAACUGAUAGUCACUUACUCCAUUGAUGAGGGCAGGCAUGGACAAAACAACGAAGGAACGUCUCCAAACAUUGAUUUACACGCUCUGUUUGUCCAUCGGAUUGCGGAUGAUAAGCUGAGCUCAUACGUAGCUGGACAUCAGCAAGCCGAAAUAAUUCCUUCCACAGGUUACUGAGAAACACCUUGUCACGAUCGGAAACUAUAGAAUGAGGCAAUCCAUGAUGUUUAUACACUUGAUCGUGGAAAAGGCGAGCAACCGUCAGAGCUGUAAAUGGGUGUUUCAGUGGUAAAAAAUUGGCAUAUUUUGAAAACAGAUCGACAACCACCAGGAUGCAUGUAUACGAAUGUGAACUAGGCAAAGCCUCAAUGAAAUCCAUAGAAAUGAUCUGCCAUAAAGAAGAAGGAACCGGAAGGGGUUGGAGCAGACCAGGUAGCCUAGCACGAUCAGCUUUGGCUUGCUGACAUAUCAAACAGUGAGUGACAUAUGUGUGCACUUCAGUUUUCAGACCUUGCCAAGCAAACAGUUGCUUCAACCGGGCAUAUGUUACCGGAAAUCCCGAGUGACCGCCCACUGCAGAUGUAUGAAAAGCAGCUAUCAACUUCUGAUGCAGAUGAGCUGAAGGUCCUACCCAAAUGCGCUUCUUAUAACGGAGCAACCCAUCUUGCCAGGAAAAAUGUGGAACGGCGGACGAAUCCACAGCGAGCUUAGCAAUGAUAUCCGAAGAAUGGGUAUCUGCCAAAUAUGUAUCAGCAACUUCGGUGACCCACUGUGGCUGACAGGACGACACCGCCAGGCAACUCGCUGACACUAUAGGAUGUCGCGAUAAAGCAUCAGCAACCCCGUUCUCUACUCCUUUCUUAUACACGAUGCGAUAUUGCAGUCCCAACAACCGAGUAAACAUUUUCUUUUGCCAUGGUGUGUGCAACCGCUGUUCAUCCAACUGAGCAAGACUGCGAUGAUCCGUAUAUAUGAUGAAUUCCUUAAGUUGCAAGUAAUGGCGCCAAUGGUCGACAGCAAUCAAAAUGGCCAAAAAUUCCUUUUCAUAAGUCGACAACCCUUGUGAUCUGGGUCCCAACGCCUUGCUAAGAUACGCAAUUGGGUGACCGGACUGCAACAACACCGCUCCGACCCCAUGAUUGCUGGCAUCUGUUUCUAAACAGAAGGGCAAUGAAAAGUUUGGUAAUGCCAAAACAGGAGCAGACACUAAAGCUUGUUUCAAGGCUGCAAAGGAAGCUUCGUGUGCGGGAGUCCAUACAAAUAUAGCACCCUUUUUUAGUAGACCCGUCAGAGGUCGAGCCAAAAGACCAAAAUGACGAACAAAGCGACGGUAGUACCCUGCCAAACCCAAAAAACUGCGUAAUUCCUUCACAGUCCUGGGAGAAGACCACUGAGAAACAGCCUGAAUCUUGCUUGGGUCUGUAGCUACUCCGGCCGCUGAAAUGACAUGACCGAGAUAGGAUAACUGAGGCCUGGCAAAUGAACAUUUAUUCAACUUAAUUUGCCAUUGAUACUGUAUGAGUAGUUCGAAGACUGCUCGAACAUGCUGAAUAUGGUCUUCAAAGCUCGAACUGUAGAUUAAAAUAUCAUCAAAGAAAACUAGCACACAACGACGAAGUAAUGGUGCUAAUGUUGCAUUCAUGGCGCGUUGAAAAGUGGCUGGUGCCCCGGUCAAACCAAAAGCCAUAACUCUAAAUUCAUAGUGACCCGAGUGUGUUUGGAAUGCUGUCUUAUGACAAUCUGCCGGUAACAGCCGAAUCUGGUGAUAUCCCGCUGUCAAGUCCAGACUAGUAAACCAGGAAGCUUGCCCCAAUUCAUCCAACAACUCCUCGAUGACAGGUACCGGAAAAGAUGUCUUGACAGUAAUAGCAUUUAAGUGCCGAAAAUCCACACAGAAGCGCCAUGAAUUAUCCUUCUUCUUGACCAAUAAUACUGAAGAAGAAAAUGGACUAGUGCUGGGUUGUAUAAUUCCUGACUGAAGCAUGACCGAAACUUGGCGCUCUAUUUCAUCUUUGAUAGCUGGUGGAUAUCGAUAUGGUCUGACAUGGACAGGAACAGCCCCUGGCACUAAUGGAAUGGUAUGAUCACACUCACGAGUUGGAGGAAGACCAUUUGGUGGUGCAAACACAGCUUUAAAUUCCUCCAACAAUGCCAUCAGCACAGGUGUUAAAUCCAAGUGUGCAAACAGAGGUGGUUCAGAUUCUAUCAUAUCUAAUUCCACUAUCGACCCAGGUGGAAAAACAGCAGACAAUCCAUGUAAUAGCACCCAGGAACGUUGAUAUGGAAUGAUCAUCCACUUUUGGGACCAAUGCACCUUCAUCGGACUAUUAGCUGCCAACCAAUCCAUACCAAUGAUCAUAUCAUAUGAAGCCAGAUCCAAAACUCUCAAGUCAGUGUCAAACACGCAGUGUUGAACGGACCAUCUAGCGCCAACUAGCUGGCAAGAACACUUCAAACGAUUGCCAUCCGCUACCUGAACCAGCACUGACUUGGCCAUAUCAGUUACACCUGAUAACCUCGAUGCCACCCGGGAUGCAAUGAAUGAAUGAGAACUACCUGAAUCGAUCAGCAUCACCACUUCAAUGCCUUGAAUCAGUCCCCGCAACUUCAGAGUAUGGUUCAACUCCAAUCCUUUAACAGCAGCAAUGGAGAUGGCCAAACAUUCAGUCUCUAUGAUCUGAUCCUCGACCACAACAUCCUCAGGAAUGGUGUCUUCAUCCCCUUCAUAUAAUUCCCAGAGUUCCUGUAGAGCAUGUAACUGGACUGUGGGAGGACACUUAUGAUCACGCGACCACUUCUCCGCACAACGCUGGCACAACCCUUUAGCUCGACGAUAAGCGCGCAAGGCAGCAAGUUUGUCAUCCAAGACACGAGCACGAUGUUGUUCAGCCGGCUUUGUUUCUUCGAUCACAGCUCCAGUCUUGUCGGGUCGUGCUGUCAAGAAAGGAGGCACUGAAGAUUUGCCAUACCCCUUUCCUGACGACGCCCAUUCUGGACGUCGAUGCUCCAAACGUCGGUCUGACGUGGCCACCUCUUCCUGCAGCAAGGCGAGAGCGCAAGCAGAAUCCAAGGAAGAAGGCCGUUGAAGAAUAAUAGCAGCACGAAUGUCUGAACGAAGACCAUCCACAAAACGUUGCACAAAAUAGAGAGGAUCCACAGGUCGCCCGUACGACACCAACUUGUCUACUAAUGAAGAAAACUGAUCUACAUAUUCAGUUACUGUGCCAUGUUGACGAAUGCGAAACAAUUGUCUAAUAAACAACUCAUGCUCAUCUUUUCCAAAACGCUCUAAAAGCACGCGGCAAAAAACAGGCCAACUAGAUAAGUGUGAAUGUUCGUCCAGAGAUGAAAACCACCGAGCAGCCCCCCCAACAAAAUGCAUCGACGCUACCCUGAUCCAUAGGUGCGGUUCUACUUCAUACAUGUCAAAGUAGUCAUGGCUGCGACGGAUCCAUAAUUUGGGGUUUUCGCCAUCAAACACAGGAAAAUUCAACUUAGGCAAACGACCACGCAUCGCGCCCCCCAUGGUUGGAUAUGACAGAUCGCCCACAUGCUGAUGGAAUUCCGAAGUAUGCACAGCUGGAGAACGAGGCAAUGAUGAACACAUACCCUUGACCGGGGUAUGGAGGAGGGUGGUGACCGACCCAAAACCAUCCUCCCGGUGGCUCGAUUCGACGCGGUGCCCAUGGGGCCUGUUGGCUGGAACUCCGGCAGGUUGUUGCUCGACAGCCGGUGGAGAAGGAGCGAGGAUGCCCGCCAUAGCGGACGAAUUGUCCACUACAGCACGCUCCCAAUUUUUGGAGAUCUUGCCCACCUCGAGUCGCAGGUCAUCCAUCAUCCCUUCCAUGUUCAUCCGCCAAUCUUCCAGCACACCAGUGGCUUGUUCUAGAGCCCCCACGCAGCGGUCUUGUCCAGUGGUGAACUCCGAGAAGGUCGCGUUCCAACGCGACUCCUGCUCGGCCACUCUGCGAUCCCACUUGGAGUCAUGUUCAGAGAAACGCCGCGACAACUCAUCCAGGAUGAGUUGAGUGUCUGGAUUCAUGAGAACACGUCGGAGGCGAGCACGGGUAAAGUAAUGCUGCUGGUCGCCGCGAUCCAGCGCGUCAACACCCACAAGCCAAGGAUCGGUAACCUUUGAUACCACUUGUUAACGACUUGCAUAAGUUGGAACACACACACAAUAUCUGGAGAAUGCAGAGACGGAGAACAGAGUAGUUGAGAUAGUACUUGGAAAGGAAGAAGAACUAGAGUCUAGAGUUCUGUUACAGCAUAAAAAACCCUACGCGCCGUCGAACCCUUAUUUAAUAAUCGGCUGGAUUACUCUGUGCUGUUUACCCACGCCGGCCCAAAGACCUUUGGGUUGCGCUUCCUCAGCCUUUUGGCCCGACACGGCCCAUCUCCUGCUGUUGCAGCCAAACCUUCUUUGUCAUUUGCCGCACCGAUGACUGCUUCCUCCGCUUCGCUGACA